rnacentral:tRNA from 1 species
GGAUGUAGCUCAGUGGUGAGAGCGCCAGGUUGUGGCCCUGGAGGUCGCGGGUUCGAAUCCCGUCAUU